rnacentral:ribozyme from 1 species
AAGUGGGAAGAGAGAAAGGGAAAAGAAUAUUUCAUAUUUGUAUUUGUAUUUGUACUGCUUUUUUUUCGAU